AACGUAGGAGGCAAGCGUUAUCCGAAUUUACUGGGCGUAAAGCGCGUGCAGGCGGUUCGGUAAGUUGGAUGUGAAAUCUCCUGGCUCAACUGGGAGAGGUCGUUCAAUACUGUCGGACUAGAGGAUGGCAGAGGGAGGUGGAAUUCCCGGUGUAGUGGUGAAAUGCGUAGAUAUCGGGAGGAACACCAGUGGCGAAGGCGGCCUCCUGGACCAUUCCUGACGCUCAGACGCGAAAGCUAGGGGAGCGAACGGG
rnacentral:rRNA from 1 species